AAAUAUUGCUUAUCUUUUCUCUGUGGAUUAUGUUCUGCUUCAAUCAAAAAUAUCUUAUUCUUUGAAUUUCGUUUCAGUCAGUGAGCUCGAUGCGGCUUCUGAUUACGGGGCAAGCUAUUGACGGAUACAGUGAACAAGAUGAUGAAAUCAGAUUUCUCGGUUUGUGGUAGUCUGAUCGACGAUGUGGUAGAUCGAAUAAAUGAUAUUGUUUCCUCCAUGGAUGUGUCUGAUGAACGCAAGUCGUGUCCUUUUGUUCUGGAAAGCACACAAAAUCUCGACUCUCCCUUGAAAAUUUGUGUCUUCUAAGGAAAUGCUCCAGAUGAUGAUGUAGACAUGUGAAACCAGUCAAAGAUUCUUGCUUCAAAUUCUGUGUGGAGUCUCUGAUGCGAAAAUCAAACAAAAUAUGAGGAUAAAGUUGUCUCAAUGAUGGAUCACAAAGGCGCCGUCAAUUGUCAACACAGUUUGAGGGUAAAUUUGUCUCGAGUAUUAUGACAAGGCUCAUUAGGUUCUUUGUUAUCUUUGAAGAAAUUCUGGUAUUGUGCCGAUGAGCAGACAAGUCGAUGCAUCAGGUCUGGAAAAUCAACAUGGGGAAUUGCCUGAGAAUGAGUUGUUUUCAGGUUUCAAGACUCUUAAGUCCAGUCAGACUUCAAAGAGAGGCUUGGGAUGCUUCCGUUGAGUUCAUUAUUAGAAAUAUUAAGGACCUUUAGAUUCUUUAAAUCAGACAAAGUCGCUGGUAAGUAAUAAUGGACCCGGGAGGUGGUUAAGUUAAGUUAGAGAUGAGUAAGGUUAUUGAUGUUGAUGAUUAAAGAAACUGGCUUUUGUUUCUCUGUAACAAAUAACUCUUUAGCUGAAGAAUAUUUGGAGAUUAAAAAUGUGUUAUAAUUGUAAAAUUGAAAAGA